rnacentral:rRNA from 1 species
GACGAACGCUGGCGGCGUGCUUAACACAUGCAAGUCGAACGGAAAGGCCCUGCUUUUGUGGGGUGCUCGAGUGGCGAACGGGUGAGUAACACGUGAGUAACCUGCCCUUGACUUUGGGAUAACUUCAGGAAACUGGGGCUAAUACCGGAUAGGAGCUCCUGCUGCAUGGUGGGGGUUGGAAAGUUUCGGCGGUUGGGGAUGGACUCGCGGCUUAUCAGCUUGUUGGUGGGGUAGUGGCUUACCAAGGCUUUGACGGGUAGCCGGCCUGAGAGGGUGACCGGCCACAUUGGGACUGAGAUACGGCCCAGACUCCUACGGGUGGCAGCAGUGGGGAAUAUUGCACAAUGGGCGGAAGCCUGAUGCAGCAACGCCGCGUGCGGGAUGACGGCCUUCGGGUUGUAAACCGCUUUCGCCUGUGACGAAGCGUGAGUGACGGUAAUGGGUAAAGAAGCACCGGCUAACUACGUGCCAGCAGCCGCGGUGAUACGUAGGGUGCGAGCGUUGUCCGGAUUUAUUGGGCGUAAAGGGCUCGUAGGUGGUUGAUCGCGUCGGAAGUGUAAUCUUGGGGCUUAACCCUGAGCGUGCUUUCGAUACGGGUUGACUUGAGGAAGGUAGGGGAGAAUGGAAUUCCUGGUGGAGCGGUGGAAUGCGCAGAUAUCAGGAGGAACACCAGUGGCGAAGGCGGUUCUCUGGGCCUUUCCUGACGCUGAGGAGCGAAAGCGUGGGGAGCGAACAGGCUUAGAUACCCUGGUAGUCCACGCUGUAAACGGUGGGUACUAGGUGUGGGGUCCAUUCCACGGGUUCCGUGCCGUAGCUAACGCUUUAAGUACCCCGCCUGGGGAGUACGGCCGCAAGGCUAAAACUCAAAGGAAUUGACGGGGCCCCGCACGAGCGGCGGAGCAUGCGGAUUAAUUCGAUGCAACGCGUAGAACCUUACCUGGGUUUGACAUGGAUCGGGAGUGCUCAGAGAUGGGUGUGCCUCUUUUGGGGUCGGUUCACAGGUGGUGCAUGGCUGUCGUCAGCUCGUGUCGUGAGAUGUUGGGUUAAGUCCCGCAACGAGCGCAACCCUUGUUCACUGUUGCCAGCACGUUAUGGUGGGGACUCAGUGGAGACCGCCGGGGUCAACUCGGAGGAAGGUGGGGAUGACGUCAAGUCAUCAUGCCCCUUAUGUCCAGGGCUUCACGCAUGCUACAAUGGCUGGUACAGAGAGUGGCGAGCCUGUGAGGGUGAGCGAAUCUCGGAAAGCCGGUCUCAGUUCGGAUUGGGGUCUGCAACUCGACCUCAUGAAGUCGGAGUCGCUAGUAAUCGCAGAUCAGCAACGCUGCGGUGAAUACGUUCCCGGG